UCAUCCAUUAGGGCGAGAAAUAGACGUCUUGGCAAGGGGCCAUUUCACUUAGCCUGUCUUUCCCCCCCCGGAAUGAUGUGUCGUCUGUGCUAGGAAUGAUGGGGCUAUCGAGCAUUGUGCAAUGGAGACAUUUCUAUGCAAUGAGUAUCAGCUAAUCAAUGGGAGCUCAUCCGGAUUCCAAACUCCAUUCAACAGGAAUGCAGCUCGAUGCUCUGCAGAUUGCAAGUUGCCAAAGUCACAUCUUUAAUAACUUCAGUUUUAUCCAUUUAAUUUUAAAAGAAACCUUAA